UACGGGGGGAGCAAGCGUUGUUCGGAUUUACUGGGCGUAAAGGGCGCGUAGGCGGCCACCGCAAGUCGACUGUGAAAUCUCCGGGCUUAACCCGGAAAGGUCAGCCGAUACUGCGGGGCUAGAGUGCAGAAGGGGCAACUGGGAAUUCUCGGUGUAGCGGUGAAAUGCGUAGAUAUCGAGAGGAACACCUGCGGCGAAGGCGGGUUGCUGGGCUGACACUGACGCUGAGGCGCGAAAGCGUGGGGAGCGAACAGG
rnacentral:rRNA from 1 species